AUGUUUUUAAUUUUAUACACUGUCAUAUUCUCCUUAGUAUCAUCUGACGUCUUAUCUUCUACUGCCACCUGUGUUGAUGGUCAGACUCUGACAGAAUCUGAACCAGCGAUUAAAAGACCUGGAGAAUCUCACAGAUUGACCUGUACAACAUCUGGAUUGUCAUUCAGUAGCUACUGGAUGGCCUGGAUCAGACAGGCUCCUGGAAAAGGACUGGAGUGGGUUGCUAGUAUCAGUUAUGACAGUAGCAGCAUCUACUACUCUCAGUCAGUCCAAGGCCGGUUUACCGUCUCCAGAGACAACAGCAGAGAGCAGCUGUGCAGACUGAGUCAAGUUCCCACCAUGACAGUUGUACAGAGUGUCCUCCUCUUGGCUCUCAUUUCAGCUGCUCAGGGCCAGUCCCUCACCUCCUCUAGAGCCAGUGGUGAGCAGAGCUGGACAACCUGUCACUCUGUCCUGUAAGGUGGACGGACUGUCUCUAGCUUGGCUGCACUGGAUUCGUCAGAAACCAGGGAAAGGACUGGAAUGGAUCGGACGCAUCGAUAGCGGAACUGGCACAAUAUUUGCCCAAAGUGUCCAAGGCCAGUUUUCCAUCACCAAAGACACUUCUCAAAAUCGUGUGCACUUAGAGGUUAAGAGUCUGAAACAAGAAGACUCUGCAGUUUAUUAUUGUGCACGAGAGCCACAGUGA